rnacentral:rRNA from 1 species
CUUGCUCUUGGGUGACGAGCGGCGGACGGGUGAGUAAUGUCUGGGAAACUGCUGAUGGAGGGGGAUAACUACUGGAAACGGUAGCUAAUACCGCAUAACGUCGCAAGACCAAAGAGGGGGACCUUCGGGCCUCUUGCCAUCAGAUGUGCCCAGAUGGGAUUAGCUAGUAGGUGGGGUAACGGCUCACCUAGGCGACGAUCCCUAGCUGGUCUGAGAGGAUGACCAGCCACACUGGAACUGAGACACGGUCCAGACUCCUACGGGAGGCAGCAGUGGGGAAUAUUGCACAAUGGGCGCAAGCCUGAUGCAGCCAUGCCGCGUGUAUGAAGAAGGCCUUCGGGUUGUAAAGUACUUUCAGCGGGGAGGAAGGCGUUGAGGUUAAUAACCUCAGCGAUUGACGUUACCCGCAGAAGAAGCACCGGCUAACUCCGUGCCAGCAGCCGCGGUAAUACGGAGGGUGCAAGCGUUAAUCGGAAUUACUGGGCGUAAAGCGCACGCAGGCGGUCUGUCAAGUCGGAUGUGAAAUCCCCGGGCUCAACCUGGGAACUGCAUUCGAAACUGGCAGGCUAGAGUCUUGUAGAGGGGGGUAGAAUUCCAGGUGUAGCGGUGAAAUGCGUAGAGAUCUGGAGGAAUACCGGUGGCGAAGGCGGCCCCCUGGACAAAGACUGACGCUCAGGUGCGAAAGCGUGGGGAGCAAACAGGAUUAGAUACCCUGGUAGUCCACGCCGUAAACGAUGUCGACUUGGAGGUUGUGCCCUUGAGGCGUGGCUUCCGGAGCUAACGCGUUAAGUCGACCGCCUGGGGAGUACGGCCGCAAGGUUAAAACUCAAAUGAAUUGACGGGGGCCCGCACAAGCGGUGGAGCAUGUGGUUUAAUUCGAUGCAACGCGAAGAACCUUACCUACUCUUGACAUCCAGAGAACUUUCCAGAGAUGGAUUGGUGCCUUCGGGAACUCUGAGA